GCUGAGUUCCUCCGGCAUUUUGUGUGUGUUGCUCACAAAGAUGAUCUCGGGAAUGAAAGUCUUGUCAUAUGAGGAGCAUUCGAUGACUCUGGGCCUCUCUCACUGGAAUUCUGAAGAAUGAGGCGGACCUCAUUGAAAACCUAUCAGGUGUUGAAAUUUCUCGAUGUGGAGAGGAUGUUUCCUGUGGUGACCCAGAGGACAGAGGCUCAGAAUAGAGAGGCAUCCUUUCAGAGUGGAGAUGAGGAGGAAUUUCUUUACCAAGGGAGUCGCUAAUCUGUGGGAUUUGUGGCCUCUGGACUGACCGUAAACGUCAGCCUAUGACGUACCACAAUUUCAUUCUCUCAUUGGUGUUACUCCCUGUUGUCGCUGUGCUGCCCGUGUGCGCGGUUGCCCAGUAUCUGAAACACUCCCACGCAGAUCGCAGUCGGUGCGGCGCUGAUGGAAUUUCCUUUCAUUGGAAGUGCCGUGCAGUGUUCAGGCCAUGCAGAAAGAUUCCUGCCCAGAACAGUGGCCAUGUUCCACAGCGCCACAAAGAGCCCGUGAUAUUACCUGGCUCAUCCGGGAGACUUUCCAAUGACUCUGACCCACCCACUCCAGCUGACUGACGGUGGUGAACCCAUCGAUGUCCAAGCUCUUGUCUCUCUGCUGCGAUCACAUGGACGGUACAAGAACCUCAGGACUCGCACCACCAGGUUCAGGGACAGCGGCUGCCAUCCCCAGGGACAGAUCCCUUCCCCAGUGAUCAGGAUCGUGAACAACAGAGGAUAAUUACACUGCCUUGUCCAUCCAUUGAGAUGUUCCCACAACCAAUGCUCGCACUUUAGCGAAUUUAUAUCUUGUUAUUUCACCUCCCGUUAUUUAUUGCUAUUUAUUUAUAUUUGUAUUUGCACAGUUUGUUUUCUUCUGGUUGAUAUUUCACUGAUGCCGUUAUAGGCACCAUUCUAUGGAUUUUCUGGCUAUUCCGCAGGUAAAUGAAUCUCGAGGUUGUUGGAUGUGCUUUGAUAAUAACAUUUGCUUUGCACUUUGAGUUUCAGGGAACGUCCCCCUGAUCCUGGGAACAAAUGGAGACUGACAUCUCCGGCUCCCGAGAGCGUCUUCAGACACACUCAGCCAAUCAGUGAACAUCGCUGUGUGCGGCAUUUUCUCAUUGGCGUAGGAGUGUAGAUGGGCAGGACGCUGAGCGCUGGGAGCAGCAUGUUCUCAUUGGCGGAGGAGUUUAGGUGGGCGGGACGCUGAGCUCACCGAACAUGGAACCGGGAGCGAGUGGAUCCGGGGAGAGGUGGCAGAUCGCGAGUUGUAUCUCGAGUAAAGGCUGCAACACCGGCCGGGUGUUUGAAUCCUUCCGAUAGCAGAUGUGAAGAGACUAUGAGAUGUUUCAGCUACACGGAGGGCGCCCGCCCUUUCCCCGCCGUGGAUCAGGGCUUAUUGUCUGGAGCUGUCUCCCAGACGGAAGCUACCCCGCAGCGGCUGCCGAUGGAUCUCCGGUGCAAUCCGAACAGCUGAAGGACAAAGGAGAACAAGGCGCAAAGUGCGGCCUUCUGGGAGUUGUAGUCAUUGGACCUCGCUCGCUCCCUGUCAAAGCAUGUUUCGUCAGCCACCACAGACGUCACCGAAACAGACCCACCGAGGCGCGAAGGGGAAUCACACCCGUCCUUGUGGGCGCCGAGGCCGGCGACACCGACAGAAGCGACUCGCUGAUCUCCGC